rnacentral:rRNA from 1 species
AAUGAACGUUGGCGGCAUGGAUUAGGCAUGCAAGUCGCACGAGAAGUCUCAAUUAGCUUGCUAUGAGAGACGGACAGUGGCGAAAGGGAGAGUAACGCGUGGUUACUUGCCUUCGAGACCGGGAUAGCGUUGGGAAACUGGCGGUAAUACCGGAUAAUAUCUACGGAUCAAAUGGUGUGAUUCCGCUCGAAGAUAGGACCGCGUACUAUUAGCUUGUUGGUGAGGUAAUGGCUCACCAAGGCUGCGAUGGUUACCGGGUGUGAGAGCAUGGCCCGGCUCACUGGGACUGAGACACUGCCCAGACAUCUACGGAUGGCUGCAGUCGAGAAUCUUCGGCAAUGGACGAAAGUCUGACCGAGCGAUGCCGCGUGCGGGAUGAAGGCCCUCGGGUUGUAAACCGCUGUCAGUUGUUAGGAAAUCCAUAGGGGUCAUCCCUUAUGGUUGACCGAUCUUCAGAGGAAGGACGGGCUAAGUUCG